AUACGUAGGGGGCAAGCGUUAUCCGGAUUUACUGGGUGUAAAGGGAGCGUAGACGGCGAUGCAAGUCUGAAGUGAAAGCCCGGGGCUCAACCCCGCGGACUGCUUUGGAAACUGUGUUGCUGGAGUGCAGGAGAGGUGAGUGGAAUUCCUAGUGUAGCGGUGAAAUGCGUAGAUAUUAGGAGGAACACCAGUGGCGAAGGCGGGUCACUGGACUGUAACUGUCGUUGAGGCUCGAAAGCGUGGGGAGCAAACAGGAUUGGAUCCCCUGGUAGUCCACGCCGUAAACGAUGAAUGCUAGGUGUCGGGGGGCAAAGCCCUUCGGUGCCGCCGCUAACGCAUUAAGCAUUACACCUGGGGAGUACGUUCGCAAGAAUGAAACUCAAAUGAAUUGACGGGG
rnacentral:rRNA from 1 species